GUUUGAUCCUGGCUCAGAUUGAACGCUGGCGGCAUGCCUUACACAUGCAAGUCGAACGGUAACGCGGGGCAACCUGGCGACGAGUGGCGAACGGGUGAGUAAUGCAUCGGAACGUGCCCAGUAGUGGGGAUAGCCCGGCGAAAGCCGGAUUAAUACCGCAUACGACCUACGGGUGAAAGCGGGGGACCGCAAGGCCUCGCGCUAUUGGAGCGGCCGAUGUCAGAUUAGGUAGUUGGUGGGGUAAAGGCCUACCAAGCCUACGAUCUGUAGCUGGUCUGAGAGGACGACCAGCCACACUGGGACUGAGACACGGCCCAGACUCCUACGGGAGGCAGCAGUGGGGAAUUUUGGACAAUGGGGGGCAACCCUGAUCCAGCCAUGCCGCGUGCGGGAAGAAGGCCUCGG
rnacentral:rRNA from 1 species